AAAGGAUCUCUUCUGGGGACCCCUCCUCUGGAGUUUUGCAGGUAGCCCAGGAUGCAGAUAUAACAGAGCACCAGCCCCAGUACUGAUGCCUGAGGGACACCACUCAUCACUGAUCUCCAACCAGACUGUGAACCAUUGGCCGUUACUCUCUGGAUAUCAUCAAGUGUGUCUUGGUGACUACAUCACCCAAUUCUUCUGGACUCUAGGAUGCAUCCAGUUCCUCAGAUGGUUGUGAACCUGAUCUUCAGUAACAGCAGGAGGGACGUUGCUCCUACAGUACCCAACUUACAAUCCAUCCACUGAAGGAGUGUGUGCAGAAUAGUCACCACAGAGAACUGAGACAGAAAAGCUGUUGAGCACCUCAGCCUUCUCCUUGUCUGCUGUUAUCAGCCUGCCUCUAUUGCUCACUAGGGGUUGGCACGCCUCAGAAUUCCUUUUUCUAAAUUAUGUACCUGUAGAAGAUUUUUUUAAAUUCUUCUCCCCUCUUGGCAAUUCCAGUUCUAGUUAGGUCUUGGCCUUCCUGACCCUGUCUCUACACACCCUACCAGCAUCCUUAUACUCCUCUAAGGGUACCUGUUCCUGGUUCCACUAAAUUAUUUCUUAUAUAUGCAUAUAACUACUUAAAAAUGAACAAAGCCUGUACUCAGGCUUCCCUCUUCUCUUCCCCAUUGUGUAAGACAUUGCUACAAUGGAUCUGUCUGACAUUUUUAAUCUUCCAUGUAGACUAAUUGUGUAUGUACUAGAUGGGCAUGUUAGUUAUGUGUAUUUUGACACUUUUUAGAAUUAGGAUGUAAUGCAGCAGUUGUAUAGUGCACUAAGCUAUGUUCUUAAGGAGAAUGAAGCUUUAAAAAAAAAAAAAAAAAAGAAAAAGAAAAGA